GGGUUCGUGGCCUAAUGGUAAGGCGUUAGAUUUCGGUCUUAUUUCCGGUCCUCUAAAGAUUGCAGGUUCGAUCCCUGCCGAGCUCG